rnacentral:rRNA from 1 species
GACGAACGCUGGCGGCGUGCUUAACACAUGCAAGUCGAACGAAGAGCGAUGGAAGCUUGCUUCUAUCAAUCUUAGUGGCGAACGGGUGAGUAACGCGUAAUCAACCUGCCCUUCAGAGGGGGACAACAGUUGGAAACGACUGCUAAUACCGCAUACGAUCUAAUCUCGGCAUCGAGGAUAGAUGAAAGGUGGCCUCUACAUGUAAGCUAUCACUGAAGGAGGGGAUUGCGUCUGAUUAGCUAGUUGGAGGGGUAACGGCCCACCAAGGCGAUGAUCAGUAGCCGGUCUGAGAGGAUGAACGGCCACAUUGGGACUGAGACACGGCCCAGACUCCUACGGGAGGCAGCAGUGGGGAAUCUUCCGCAAUAGACGAAAGUCUGACGGAGCAACGCCGCGGGAGUGAUGACGGCCUUCGGGUUGUAAAGCUCUGUUAAUCGGGACGAAAGGCCUUCUUGCGAAUAGUGAGAAGGAUUGACGGUACCGGAAUAGAAAGCCACGGCUAACUACGUG